rnacentral:lncRNA from 1 species
AAAACAUUAAAUUGGCGUGAAUUUUGAGUUAAAUAAUUUUUUUUAAUUAUUUCAGCCGUUGGAUUUAAAUUUGGGCCUUUAGAUCUUUUUUAUACUAUUGGAUUUGAUCAUAUUAGAUAUCAGCUGUUAGAUUCAAUGAAAUUAUAAAGAUAAAACAAAAAAAUAAACAAAUAUGAAUCUUGACCGUUGGUUAUCCAACGGUCCAUUUGAAUUUGUGCCAUUGGAUUAAGCAAAAGAGCCGUUAGGUUUAUUUUUUAGGCCGACAAGUCGCCGGCAUGGCCACUUGGGUGGGGUUCAUCCUUUGUCGAAGCACAAAGCAAGCUCACGCGUUGAAGCGUGGGCCGCGUGCAGGGCUUGUGCGUCUGGCUUUUGCUAGCGAGUCCACGCGCACAAGUGGGCCAACUCAAUAACCAAAACUCAAAUCUUGGCCGGAUUUAACCCAAAUCUAAAAUUUGGGGCAAGGGAUGGAGUGAAAUUGUUUUUUUUUUUUUGUUGGGGGGGGGAGGAGGGGAGAAUAGAAAGCAGAUUUUGAGACUUGCUCCAAGGGUUGGAGAUGGUCUAAAAAAUAGGGUUAGAACAAUGCCGCAGUUGAUUUGCUGUGUUCAACAAUGGUUAACACUAGUAAAGCAAAAGACAAAACGGACAAAUGCUAAUAGAAGAAAGGUAAUUUGAAUAUUAUGAAAGCUUUAUCCUUUUUCCUUCUCCCUUUAUAUAUACAUAUAGAAGAUUAAUAAUACUUCAAUGAUUCUAUCUUCUACAAGAUCUUUUACAGUGAAUUGGGAAAAGAACUUGUUUGCAAAUAUUGGUCUUGUUUUUACAUCUAUGCUAGCUACAAAUAAAAUUUGAGAUCUCUUACAAAACACGAACAAUUUUAAUAGUUGAUAAAUUAGCUAGUUUAACAGAAAAUAGAAAUGGGAUCUAAAAAUCCAAAUCAGAGCACACGUUAUAUCAGAGCCAAAAAAAGUUUAUGCUCAAAUCCUCAGCAAAAUGCAAACCCUCACGGACAAGGAUUGUCUGUCCUUCAUUUUUCCACGCCCUUCCACGCCCUCCUGUGUGUGAUCACGGUUCAGCCACGUCAACAUUUUAUAUUACUAUUUAUUUUUUGUCUUAUUAUCUUUAUAAAAAAAUAAUAUAAAAUGUUAACGUGACUUAACCGUGACCACACAAAACAGGAGGGCAUAGAAGGGCAUGGAACGGAAUGGAAAAAAGGAGGGCAGACAAUCCUUGUCCAACCCUCACAUAAUGUAAUUGCUUCAAGACCACGCCAACCAAUUAAUAAAGGAUUUCCAAAUUGGGAGUCAUUGAAUACAAUUAAAGAAAUCUGUAAUUAAUUCAAAUAGCGACGAUAGUCAAAAACAGCUAAAUACACAAAUAUGAGUCAUCAAAUUAAAAAGGUAUAAUGUAAUCUUAAGUGGUAGAAUAGUCAAAGAACUUAAUCAACAAGAGACAAUCUAUGGAUAAUCUUUUGGUGUCAUAGGUUGCUAAUCUUAAGUGGUAGAAUAGUCAAAGAACUUAAUCAACAAGAGACAAUCUAUGGAUAAUCUUUUGGUGUCAUAGGUUGCUAAUCUUAAGUGGUAGAAUAGUCAAAGAACUUAAUCAACAAGAAACAAUCUAUGGAUAAUCUUUUAGUGUCAUAGGUUGCUAAUUGUUUUUUAUUCCGCUCAAAUUAUAAUACGUAAAUUUGUUUUAAAACACGUAUAAUAAUAUAUUUUGUGGCUUGUGUGUCUAGACCAAGUGUAACAAAUUUUCAAGCUUAAGACGUGUAUAACACAAAUUGGAUGAAGUAAAACACGUGUGGGCAAACUUUUGAAGUGGGAUAUUUCUUCACAUCCUCACACACAUGGUCCUUCACAUGUGGUGAAUUUUGAUGUUGACAACGAAAAUUGGGCAACAUGAGAUACGUGUUGUGUUGAGCUUAAAGGUGAGCCACCUGCAUUGAUACCUGUAUUGAUGACUUCACAAGUUUGAACUUGGAGGGGUUAUGAAGAGGUGGUCAGGGUACGUGGCUGUACUUUGUCUAAGGCGAUAAACCAGAGCUUAAUUAAUUAAGCUUAUAUUAAAAGUCAGAAAAAAUGGAGAAUUUGAAGCAGCUCUCAUCCCUUAACUUCAAAUAUAUAUGAUAAUUAUAAUGAUUUUUAUUUGAUCUAUGUAAUAGCUGAUGACAUCUUUCUUACUAAACUAACCAAUAGGUCUAAAAAUAAAUAAUAUAAGGACGAACAUUUUAAUAAAGUCAAAUCGAAUUAAUGGUCUACAUGAUAAUAGAGUAUUCGGAAGAGAUUAUGUGAUAAAAAAAUUAGGAUCUAAAUCCCGAUGAUAAAGGCUGUUAUCAAAUUUAACCUAAAGUAAGAUUUCUGUCAUAUCUCAUUUAGAUGCAAUUGUACCUCCAUGGCUCCACCUUCUCCUCCCAUCUCUCUCCAACCAUUUUUCCGUUGGUUUCCUUACCAUUAGGCAUUAGUUUCAAGAUUCACAAAAUGAAUACAUAUCUAAUGAUCAUAGAUACCUGUUGACCCUAAAAACUACCAAGCCUACGUGGCGCGCAGGCCGAAUAAUCUAUAAGCUAACUACAUCCUUCGGUGAAUGCGGGGCGUGCCAACUCGUCUGCCGAGCUCGGCCGAGGAGUAAAUUUGUUGAUGUUGGGUGCGCGGCUGACUUCUGCGUCUUGCGAUUGCGGCCGAGAAAGGAAUAUGUCUCGGCCUCUUGGGCUCUCGAACCUGAAGACAAGGUUACUAUUCUUACGAAGUUCAAUAUCAAAUUCGGCUUUCAAUAUGCCGAAUGCAAUAACUUGUAACAGCUUACUUUGCCGAGAAGGCUGAUGAGAUGACCUCGACCAAUAAGGAUUCAGAAAUCCUUCUCGACCGAGACUUGGAUAGGUAAUCAACCGUCCUUGCCGCAGUGCUGUUGAUGCCAACGGAAGAUGCUGCAAGAUCGGCUGAUUCUACGGUGAUAGAGCUAUCUAUGCCGACUUAAGAUAUCACCGGUUGCUUUCACAGUGCUGUUGAUGCCAACGGAAGAUGUGUCAGCGAAAAGAGAAAAUAAAAAUCUCAGUUGUUGAGAGAGUUUGCGCAGGGCAGUUGUGUGUUGAAUUGAAGGUCCCUUCAAUGAUGCACUGAGUCUUGUAUUUAUAAGGUUGGAUAUCUGCUAGCUUUGGCCUGACAGAUUUGUAUUUCAAUUGCACCCAAAGACUUCUUGAUGGAAUAUGCGAAUCUGAACAACAAUAGGGACUCUGCAUGCUAACCCUAUUUUAUUCCCACUUUGACUUAUAUUUAUCCCAUUAGAAGCUUUCUUAUCUCAUCAGAGCCUAGCCUUAUCCCAUCCAAAGCCAUCACUUCAAAGUCAAAGAUUCCUAAUGCAACUAUAAACCUUCUUCUUCCACCACGAAUGUCCAUAUGCAUGCAACUUCAUUAAUC